rnacentral:other from 1 species
GUUUCCACCACUGCUCCGAGGGCAACAAUCCCAGUGGACUUGAAAUUCCUGGAGAAUUGGUUUUGUGAGAAGCUGGAAAUCAUUUCUUUAAUUCCAUCUCUUAGUUUUCCAUGUGAGUAUUCAGCCUAUCCUUUUGCUGCAGAUGAAUGUCAGGAUCAU